AUAUCUUAGGUGUACCCAUUUCUACUGUGGCUUCAGAAUCAGUUUUUAGCACUGGUGGUAGGGUUGUCACUCCUCAUCGAAGUAGGCUUCACCCGAAGACGUUGGAGGGAUUAAUGUGUUCUCAAAGUUGGUUGUUGAAAGAUGCCAAAGACCAAGUGCCCACUUGGAAAGAUGCAUAUGGUACUAUUUACGAUGAUUGUGGGAUUAGUCCAGAAGAACUUGAAGACAUGGAGAUUGAAGAAGAAGAUUGUGAAGAGUGAAAAAUGAAU